rnacentral:rRNA from 1 species
UACAGAGGUCCCGAGCGUUGUUCGGAUUCACUGGGCGUAAAGGGUGCGUAGGCGGCCUGGUAAGUUUGAUGUGAAAGCUCAGGGCUCAACCCUGAAAUGGCAUUGAAUACUACUGUGCUGGAGGUUUGGAGGGGGGACUGGAAUUCUUGGUGUAGCAGUGAAAUGCGUAGAUAUCAAGAGGAACACCAGUGGCGAAGGCGAGUCCCUGGACAACACCUGACACUGAGGCACGAAAGCUAGGGGAGCAAACAGG